AGUGGCGUACGGGUGAGUAAUAUAUCGGAACAUGCCCAGAAGUGGGGGAUAACUUACCGAAAGGUAGGCUAAUACCGCAUACGAUCUAAGGGUGAAAGCGGGGGAUCGCGAGACCUCGUGCUUUUGGAGUGGCCGAUAUCUGAUUAGCUAGUUGGUAGGGUAAAAGCCUACCAAGGCGACGAUCAGUAGCUGGUUUGAGAGAACGGCCAGCCACACUGGGACUGAGACACGGCCCAGACUCCUACGGGAGGCAGCAGUGGGGAAUUUUGGACAAUGGGGGAAACCCUGAUCCAGCAAUGCCGCGUGUGCGAAGAAGGCCUUCGGGUUGUAAAGCACUUUUGCCAGGAAAGAAAAGUGUGCGUGCUAAUACCAUGUGCACAUGACGGUACCUGAAGAAUAAGCACCGGCUAACUACGUGCCAGCAGCCGCGGUAAUACGUAGGGUGCAAGCGUUAAUCGGAAUUACUGGGCGUAAAGCGUGCGCAGGCGGUUAUAUAAGUCAGUUGUGAAAUCCCUGGGCUUAACCUAGGAACUGCAUUUGAGACUGUAUGGCUAGAGUGUGUCAGAGGGGGGUAGAAUUCCACGUGUAGCAGUGAAAUGCGUAGAGAUGUGGAGGAAUACCGAUGGCGAAGGCAGCCCCCUGGGAUAACACUGACGCUCAUGCACGAAAGCGUGGGGAGCAAACAGGAUUAGAUACCCUG
rnacentral:rRNA from 1 species